AAAAAUAGGCAUAAUUAAUGUAAAUUACUAACAAUGAGUAAUUUUCUUUAAGGUGCCCGAUAUCGAUUUAGUAUAAAAAUUGAUUCACAGAAAAAAUAUUACAGAGAAACAAGAAACAAAAUGGUGACAAAGGCUAGCAUCGUGUGCAUCUUCUUCAUUGUUUGCUUCGUGACAUCGGUUCAAAUGUUGCCAAUGGCGUCAGAAUGCCGUCAAAAAUCCGCACCUCCUAAAACCAAUAAUGCAAACCAAGUGCUAUCAGACCUCAAUGUUGAAGUCAUAAGCGUAAAGGAUCUUUUAGGUUGCGCUGAUAUUCUUACUUCGUAAUCUUGAAUCUUAGCUUCCAGUACCAAAUGUACGACAAACGAAAACAAAAAAAACCGAUUGCUUCUGUAUAUUGUUUCAAAACAACAAAUAAAUAAAAAUUUCUAAAUGUAUGACAUUAUAA